UAGGGAAUAUUGGACAAUGGGCGCAAGCCUGAUCCAGCAAUGCCGCGUGCAGGAUGAAGGCCUUCGGGUUGUAAACUGCUUUUGUACGGAGCGAAAAGGUCUGCCCUAAUACGGCGGGCUCAUGACGGUACCGUAAGAAUAAGCACCGGCUAACUACGUGCCAGCAGCCGCGGUAAUACGUAGGGUGCGAGCGUUAAUCGGAAUUACUGGGCGUAAAGCGUGCGCAGGCGGUUAUAUAAGACAGAUGUGAAAUCCCCGGGUUCAACCUGGGAACUGCAUCUGUGACUGCAUCGCUGGAGUGCGGCAGAGGGGGAUGGAAUUCCGCGUGUAGCAGUGAAAUGCGUAGAUAUGCGGAGGAACACCGAUGGCGAAGGCAAUCCCCUGGGCCUGCACUGACGCUCAUGCACGAAAGCGUGGGGAGCAAACA
rnacentral:rRNA from 1 species